rnacentral:tRNA from 1 species
GGGGCUGUAGCUCAGCUGGGAGAGCGCCGGCUUUGCAAGCCGGAAGUCAUCGGUUCGAUCCCGUUCAGCUCCA